rnacentral:rRNA from 1 species
UACAGAGGUGGCAAGCGUUGUUCGGAAUUACUGGGCGUAAAGGGCUCGUAGGCGGCCAACUAAGUCGGAUGUGAAAUCCCCAGGCUUAACCUGGGAACUGCAUCUGAUACUGGAUGGCUUGAAUCCGGGAGAGGGAUGCAGAAUUCCAGGUGUAGCGGUGAAAUGCGUAGAUAUCUGGAGGAAUACCGGUGGCGAAGGCGGCAUCCUGGACCGGCAUUGACGCUGAUGAGCGAAAGCUAGGGGAGCAAACGGG